rnacentral:lncRNA from 1 species
CCAGAGGGGCUAGGCUCUGGGAUUCAAGAUGGAGGCGCUGAGUCGAGCUGGGCAGGAGAUGAGCCUAGCGGCCCUGAAGCAACACGACCCCUAUAUCACCAGCAUCGCAGACCUCACGGGCCAGGUCGCUCUGUACACCUUCUGCCCCAAGGCCAACCAGUGGGAGAAGACUGAUAUAGAAGGGACCUUAUUCGUAUAUCGAAGGUAAG